GUGCCAGCAGCCGCGGUAAUACGUAGGUGGCAAGCGUUGUCCGGAAUUAUUGGGCGUAAAGCGCGCGCAGGCGGUCCUUUAAGUCUGAUGUGAAAGCCCACGGCUCAACCGUGGAGGGUCAUUGGAAACUGGGGGACUUGAGUGCAGAAGAGGAAAGUGGAAUUCCACGUGUAGCGGUGAAAUGCGUAGAGAUGUGGAGGAACACCAGUGGCGAAGGCGACUUUCUGGUCUGUAACUGACGCUGAGGCGCGAAAGCGUGGGGAGCAAACAGGAUUAGAUACCCUGGUAGUUCA
rnacentral:rRNA from 1 species